rnacentral:rRNA from 1 species
GACGAACGCUGGCGGCGUGCUUAACACAUGCCAGUCGAACGGAAAGGCCCUGCUUUUGUGGGGUGCUCGAGUGGCGAACGGGUGAGUAACACGUGAGUAACCUGCCCUUGACUUUGGGAUAACUUCAGGAAACUGGGGCUAAUACCGGAUAGGAGCUCCUGCUGCAUGGUGGGGGUUGGAAAGUUUCGGCGGUUGGGGAUGGACUCGCGGCUUAUCAGCUUGUGGGUGGGGUAGUGGCUUACCAAGGCUUUGACGGGUAGCCGGCCUGAGAGGGUGACCGGCCACAUUGGGACUGAGAUACGGCCCAGACUCCUACGGGAGGCAGCAGUGGGGAAUAUUGCACAAUGGGCGGAAGCCUGAUGCAGCAACGCCGCGUGCGGGAUGACGGCCUUCGGGUUGUAAACCGCUUUCGCCUGUGACGAAGCGUGAGUGACGGUAAUGGGUAAAGAAGCACCGGCUAACUACGUG